GGGCCUGUAGCUCAGUUGGUUAGAGCAGCUGACUCAUAAUCAGCCGGUCGCCCGUUCGAGUCGGGCCGGGCCCA
rnacentral:tRNA from 1 species